rnacentral:rRNA from 1 species
GACGAACGCUGGCGGCGUGCUUAACACAUGCAAGUCGAACGGAAAGGCCCUGCUUUUGUGGGGUGCUCGAGUGGCGAACGGGUGAGUAACACGUGAGUAACCUGCCCUUGACUUUGGGAUAACUUCAGGAAACUGGGGCUAAUACCGGAUAGGAGCUCCUGCUGCAUGGUGGGGGUUGGAAAGUUUCGGCGGUUGGGGAUGGACUCGCGGCUUAUCAGCUUGUUGGUGGGGUAGUGGCUUACCAAGGCUUUGACGGGUAGCCGGCCUGAGAGGGUGACCGGCCACAUUGGGACUGAGAUACGGCCCAGACUCCUACGGGAGGCAGCAGUGGGGAAUAUUGCACAUUGGGCGGAAGCCUGAUGCAGCAACGCCGCGGGCGGGAGGACGGCCUUCGGGUUGUAAACCGCUUUCGCCUGGGACGAAGCGUGAGUGACGGUAAUGGGUAAAGAAGCACCGGCUAACUACGUG